rnacentral:rRNA from 1 species
GGCCAGCAAGCAAAGCCACGCCUCCUCGCCGUUGCUUUGCUUUCGUCCUCGCCUUUUCUUUCCUUUCGUGUAGUACCGAGCAAGACAAAGCUCUCGGCACAAAACCCCCAAACCCCCCAAGGCGCCCCACCCCCACACGCAUCGCACACCACCCAUCCAACCCAUCCCCAUCGCAGCCCACGCGCCCGGGACCCGAGCAGCCAUGGCGAAAGGAGCAGCCGGAGGAGGAGGGGGAGGGGGCGCCGUGAAGACGGCCCUGGUCGUCACCGGCGGCCUCGUCCUCGCCUGGCUCACCGUCGAGUCCGCCUUCAAGCCCUUCCUCGACCGCCUCCGCGGCGCCGUCUCCCGCUCCACCGACCCCGCCCGCGACCCCGACGAGGACACCGCCGCCCCCGCCCCCGCCCCCGAGGAGGACAAGUCGCCCGCCACCGCCGCCGUCGCCGCCGCUGUCGCCUCCGCCGUCGCCGAGGAGAAGGACCCCGCCGUCGCCGCGGCCGAGCCGUCCGCGCCCCCGCUCCCGGCCGAGGCCUCGGUGGAGAGCGAGGAGAAGGGAGCGGACAGGGAGGUCGAGCUGGGCGAGAAGGGGGAGGCGGCCGUGGCCGCCAAGGCCGAGUGAAGACGGCGGUUCUCGCCUCGCCUGGUUCCACUUCUGAAUCGUACGCUGUGAAUCUAUUCUACGCGUUUGGAGGUUGUGAUGGAUGAUGCAAUGUUUUGAACUCUGUUAUCGGUAUCUGCACCUUUAGGGCCCGUCUUAAGAUUAAGGCUUACCCUGGGUUAGUUUCUGACAUUUUGCAUUCAGUACUUGAUGUCAUGAUAUACAUCUGUGUGGAUGGUUUAAUUUACCAUGGAAACUGCUUGCUUAUCCUGUGGACAGGAAACUUAUUGUCACAUAGGUUGUUCUAGCUCUUGAAGCUGCAUUUGGUUCAGUCAUUUUAAUCAGUCGCCAGGGUAAUGGUGAUGUGGUGCAUCAUUCAAUUAUUUUGGGCUGUCUUUCCUGCUUGGUUUAUGCAUUUCCUCUGAGGGAGAAGUUAUCUCGUCCAACAUUACAUAAAAACUGCUUUGCUUAUGCUGUUGAUAGGAAAAUUAUAGUGACAUAUGUUGUUCUACUUCUUCAAACUGAAAGUCUGCAAGGUUGUUCAGUUGUUUAAGUAUUUCUUGGGCUAGUGAAAUGAUAUGGUGCAUCAUUCGAUUAUUUUGUGCUACUUCUCUUGCUUUCAGAUUUUUCUCUGUGAAUAAGUUAUUUCUAUCAUGCUUCUAAAUAGUACUCCCUCCGUCCGGAAAUACUUGUCGAAGAAAUGGG